AAUCCAUAGGUUAAUGAGGCGAACCGGGGGAACUGAAACAUCUAAGUACCCCGAGGAAAAGAAAUCAACCGAGAUUCCCCCAGUAGCGGCGAGCGAACGGGGAGGAGCCCAGAGCCUGAAUCAGCAUGUGUGUUAGUGGAAGCGUCUGGAAAGGCGCGCGAUACAGGGUGACAGCCCCGUACACAAAAGCGCAUGUGCUGUGAGCUCGAUGAGUAGGGCGGGACACGUGGUAUCCUGUCUGAAUAUGGGGGGACCAUCCUCCAAGGCUAAAUACUCCUGACUGACCGAUAGUGAACCAGUACCGUGAGGGAAAGGCGAAAAGAACCCCGGCGAGGGGAGUGAAAAAGAACCUGAAACCGUGUACGUACAAGCAGUGGGAGCACCCUUUUGGGUGUGACUGCGUACCUUUUGUAUAAUGGGUCAGCGACUUAUAUUCUGUAGCAAGGUUAACCGUAUAGGGGAGCCGUAGGGAAACCGAGUCUUAAUUGGGCGUUAAGUUGCAGGGUAUAGACCCGAAACCCGGUGAUCUAGCCAUGGGCAGGUUGAAGGUUGGGUAACACUAACUGGAGGACCGAACCGACUAAUGUUGAAAAAUUAGCGGAUGACCUGUGGCUGGGGGUGAAAGGCCAAUCAAACCGGGAGAUAGCUGGUUCUCCCCGAAAGCUAUUUAGGUAGCGCCUCGUGAAUUCAUCUCCGGGGGUAGAGCACUGUUUCGGCUAGGGGGCCAUCCCGGCUUACCAACCCGAUGCAAACUGCGAAUACCGGAGAAUGUUAUCACGGGAGACACACGGCGGGUGCUAACGUCCGUCGUGAAGAGGGAAACAACCCAGACCGCCAGCUAAGGUCCCAAAGUCAUGGUUAAGUGGGAAACGAUGUGGGAAGGCCCAGACAGCCAGGAUGUUGGCUUAGAAGCAGCCAUCAUUUAAAGAAAGCGUAAUAGCUCACUGGUCGAGUCGGCCUGCGCGGAAGAUGUAACGGGGCUAAACCAUG
rnacentral:rRNA from 2 species